UGACAUCGUGACGGGAUGGGGACAUCAGGAUGGGAUGGGGACGUCGUGGUGGGGACGUCGUGGUGGUGACAUCUUGAUGGGAUGGGGGCGUCAUGAUGGUGACAUCGUGACAGGAUGGGGACAUUGGGAUGGGAUGGGGACAUCAGGAUGGGAUGGGGACGUCAUGAUGGUGACAUCGUGAUGGGAUGGGGACAUCGUGAUGGGAUGGGGACAUCGUGGUGGGGACAUCGUGGUGGUGACAUCAUGACAGGAUGGGGACAUCAGGAUGGGAUUAAUGGGGACAUCGUGAUGGGAUGGGGACAUCGUGGUGGGGACAUCGUGGUGGUGACAUCGUGGUGGGGACAACAUGGUGGUGACAUCGUGAUGAGAUGGGGACAUCAGGAUGGGAUGGAUGGGGACAUCGUGGUGGUGACAUCGUGAUGGGAUGAGGACGUCAUGGUGGUGACAUCGUGGUGGGAUGGGGACAUCAUGGUGGGAUGGGGACGUCGUGAUGGGGACG
rnacentral:lncRNA from 1 species